rnacentral:rRNA from 1 species
GACGAACGCUGGCGGCGUGCUUAACACAUGCAAGUCGAACGGAAAGGCCCUGCUUUUGUGGGGUGCUCGAGUGGCGAACGGGUGAGUAACACGUGUGUAACCUGCCCUUGACUUUGGGAUAACUUCAGGAAACUGGGGCUAAUACCGGAUAGGAGCUCCUGCUGCAUGGUGGGGGUUGGAAAGUUUCGGCGGUUGGGGAUGGACUCGCGGCUUAUCAGCUUGUUGGUGGGGUAGUGGCUUACCAAGGCUUUGACGGGUAGCCGGCCUGAGAGGGUGACCGGCCACAUUGGGACUGAGAUACGACCCAGACUCCUACGGGAGGCAGCAGUGGGGAAUAUUGCACAAUGGGCGGAAGCCUGAUGCAGCAACGCCGCGUGCGGGAUGACGGCCUUCGGGUUGUAAACCGCUUUCGCCUGUGACGAAGCGUGAGUGACGGUAAUGGGUAAAGAAGCACCGGCUAACUACGUG